AGAGUUUGAUCCUGGCUCAGGACGAACGCUGGCGGCGUGCUUAACACAUGCAAGUCGAACGGUGAACCCUCUUCGGAGGGGGAUCAGUGGCGAACGGGUGAGUAACACGUGAGCAACCUGCCCCUAACUCUGGGAUAACUCCGGGAAACCGGAGCUAAUACCGGAUACGAGACACUCGGGCCUCCGAUGUGUCUGGAAAGAUAUAUCGGUUAGGGAUGGGCUCGCGGCCUAUCAGCUUGUUGGCGGGGUAACGGCCCACCAAGGCGACGACGGGUAGCCGGCCUGAGAGGGCGACCGGCCACUCUGGGACUGAGACACGGCCCAGACUCCUACGGGAGGCAGCAGUGGGGAAUAUUGCGCAAUGGGCGAAAGCCUGACGCAGCGACGCCGCGUGAGGGACGAAGGCCUUCGGGUUGUAAACCUCUUUCAGCAGGGAAGAAGCGAAAGUGACGGUACCUGCAGAAGAAGCACCGGCUAACUACGUGCCAGCAGCCGCGGUAAUACGUAGGGUGCAAGCGUUGUCCGGAAUUAUUGGGCGUAAAGAGCUCGUAGGCGGUUUGUCGCGUCUGCUGUGAAAACUCGGGGCUUAACCCCGGGCCUGCAGUGGGUACGGGCAGACUAGAGUGCGGUAGGGGAGACUGGAAUUCCUGGUGUAGCGGUGAAAUGCGCAGAUAUCAGGAGGAACACCGGUGGCGAUGCGGGUCUCUGGGCCGUAACUGACGCUGAGGAGCGAAAGCAUGGGGAGCGAACAGGAUUAGAUACCCUGGUAGUCCAUGCCGUAAACGUUGGGCGCUAGGUGUGGGGCUCUUUCCACGAGUUCCGUGCCGCAGCAAACGCAUUAAGCGCCCCGCCUGGGGAGUACGGUCGCAAGGCUAAAACUCAAAGGAAUUGACGGGGGCCCGCACAAGCGGCGGAGCAUGCGGAUUAAUUCGAUGCAACGCGAAGAACCUUACCAAGGCUUGACAUGAACGGUAAUCCGGCAGAGAUGUCGGGUCCGUAAGGGCCGUUCACAGGUGGUGCAUGGUUGUCGUCAGCUCGUGUCGUGAGAUGUUGGGUUAAGUCCCGCAACGAGCGCAACCCUCGUUCUAUGUUGCCAGCACGUAAUGGUGGGGACUCAUAGGAGACUGCCGGGGUCAACUCGGAGGAAGGUGGGGAUGACGUCAAAUCAUCAUGCCCCUUAUGUCUUGGGCUUCACGCAUGCUACAAUGGCCAGUACAAAGGGCUGCGAGACCGUAAGGUGGAGCGAAUCCCAAAAAGCUGGUCUCAGUUCGGAUCGGGGUCUGCAACUCGACCCCGUGAAGUCGGAGUCGCUAGUAAUCGCAGAUCAGCAACGCUGCGGUGAAUACGUUCCCGGGCCUUGUACACACCGCCCGUCACGUCACGAAAGUCGGUAACACCCGAAGCCGGUGGCCCAACCCUUGUGGAGGGAGCCGUCGAAGGUGGGACUGGCGAUUGGGACGAAGUCGUAACAAGGUA
rnacentral:rRNA from 1 species